rnacentral:rRNA from 1 species
GAUGAACGCUGGCGGCGUGCCUAAUACAUGCAAGUCGAGCGAACGGACGAGAAGCUUGCUUCUCUGAUGUUAGCGGCGGACGGGUGAGUAACACGUGGAUAACCUACCUAUAAGACUGGGAUAACUUCGGGAAACCGGAGCUAAUACCGGAUAAUAUUUUGAACCGCAUGGUUCAAAAGUGAAAGACGGUCUUGCUGUCACUUAUAGAUGGAUCCGCGCUGCAUUAGCUAGUUGGUAAGGUAACGGCUUACCAAGGCAACGAUGCAUAGCCGACCUGAGAGGGUGAUCGGCCACACUGGAACGGAGACACGGUCCAGACUCCUACGGGAGGCAGCAGUAGGGAAUCUUCCGCAAUGGGCGAAAGCCUGACGGAGCAACGCCGCGUGAGUGAUGAAGGUCUUCGGAUCGUAAAACUCUGUUAUUAGGGAAGACCAUAUGUGUAAGUAACUGUGCACAUCUUGACGGUACCUAAUCAGAAAGCCACGGCUAACUACGUG